GCUUAGGUAGUUUAAGAAAAAUAUUAAUCUGUGGUGUUAAAGAUGCAAAUUAUGUCUUAGGUU
rnacentral:tRNA from 1 species